AUGUUGCCAUUUCUCUUGACGCAGACAAGCAAACGAUGGGGCGCGGGAGACCAACACAGGAAGGCCCUUACUUCGGUUAUGAUGCUGUCAUGGGAAAUUUGGAAGGAACGAAAUGCAAGAAUUUUUCGCAACAUGGCCGCUCCAACAACGAUCGUCGUCAGCAGAAUCAAGGAGGAAGCCCGCCUCUGGGCGCUUGCUGGAGCCAAGCAUUUGAGCCUACUUAUGUCGCGAGAAUAG
rnacentral:rRNA from 1 species